AAUAUACUCCCUCCGUUCGGAAUUACUUGUCGCAGAAAUGGAUGUAUCUAGACAUAUUUUAGUUGUAGAUACAUCCAUUUUUGAGACAAGUAAUUCCGAACAGAGGGAGUACUUC
rnacentral:pre_miRNA from 1 species